UUUAACUCUAGAUUUUGAAAUGCAUUGUGAUUCCUGUCCGUUGGACUGUAAGGUUUAUGUAGAUAAUCUUGGAAACAAUGGCAAUAAGACUGAAUUGGAAUGGGCUUUGGCUAUUAUGGACCACUCCGAAGCACCCUCCCAGGUUUGCUUUUGUUGAAUUUGAAGAUCCUAGAGAUGCAGCUGAUCCUGUCCAAGAGCUGGAUGGAAGGACACUGUGUGGCUGCCCUGUGAGAGUGGAACUGUCCAAUGGUGAAAAAAGAAGUAGAAAUCGUGGCCCACCCCCAACUUGGGGUCUUCGCCCCCAAAAUGAUUAUCGUAGGAGUCCUCCACCCCAUUGCAGAUCUCUAAGGAGGAGAAGCUUCUCUCGCAGCUGGAGCAGGUCCCUUUCCAGAGACAGGAUAAGAGGGAGAUCACUGUCUCGGAAGAGAAAUCAUAAGCCCUUCUCUAGGCCUUGAAGCUGAUCUAGGUCAAAUGAAAGGAAAUAGAAGACCAGUUUGCAAGAGAAGUGGUGUACAGGAGAUAACUUCAUGUGACAGGAGUAUGUUCAGAAAUUUCAAGUUUUGUUUGAGACCUCAUAAGCUUGGUGCAUUUUUAAGAUGUUUUAGCUGUUCAAAUUUGUUUGUCUCUUAGAACAGUGACACAAAAAGUAUAAUUCUCUAUGGUUUGAAAUGGAUCAUAUGAGGCAUGUAAUACCAAGAAUUGUUACUUUACAAUGUUCCCUUAAGCAAAAUUGAAUUUGCCUUGAAUUUUAGUUUUGCAUAGACUGAUAAUAAACCUCUAAAUCCUGCCCAGCUAAAGUGUGAUGUUUUUUUUUUAUAUAUAGAAACAAAACUGGCAAAAAUUGAAUGAAGAUUUACUUUUCCCCCAUGUCUGAGAUAGUGUAUGCAACUAUAGUUGAACAAGCAGUCUUUAUAAAGCUGCUGUGAAACAACCCAGCAGCUACAUCAUUGUACUAAAUUAGAGGUUUAUGAAAAAUCCAACUGGUUUUCACCCUGGGCAGAGAUUGCCUACUUACUGUAGAAUCUGAUAAAUUCUAAGAAAGUUUCCCUUUACUUUAGGUCCAUAAGUUCCUUAUGUAAUAGUU